rnacentral:lncRNA from 1 species
UUUGGUGUCUUUUGUGUGAAGCAGGACAUGCCACCAAACUCUUUUAGAAACUUAAAAUAAUUAGUGUUAAGUUUGAUUAAGAAAUUUUCGAAACAUAAUUAACUAUAACCUAUAUGAGUAGAUAAUGCUCUUUUGGAGUUGAAAUGACAUAUUUAUCAGAAUUAACAAGAAUUUAGUUAGUUGAGAUCAAACUAAAUUGGCCAAUUUGCAUAAAAAAAUCACAAGUUUUGAGCUUUUGUAAAACUAGACCACCUUUUUCAAUUUUACAGAUUCGGGCCAAAUUUUUCGCCAUCGGACGAAAAUACCUUAUUCCUUUUCUUUCUCUCUCUCUCUUUUUUUUUUUCCUUAUUUUUUUUCUUCCGCCACCUCCUCCUCCGUAGCGCCCUCCCUAUCACCGCCUCCUCCUCCGGCGAACUCACCUCCUCCUUUCGCCGCCUCUCCCUCUCCCACGGCGAUGCCCCUACUUCCUCCCCAAUAUCCGACCCCCAACCCUACAGCGCCAAUCUCGA